UGUUAUGCUAGUCCUGGAAUGGUGUA
rnacentral:piRNA from 1 species